UCUUUUUAACCGACUUCAAAAAAAGAGCAGGUUCUGUAUUCGACUGUAUGUUUUUUAUAAGGCUAG